rnacentral:rRNA from 1 species
GGGGACAACGUUUCGAAAGGAACGCUAAUACCGCAUACGUCCUACGGGAGAAAGCAGGGGACCUUCGGGCCUUGCGCUAUCAGAUGAGCCUAGGUCGGAUUAGCUAGUUGGUGAGGUAAUGGCUCACCAAGGCGACGAUCCGUAACUGGUCUGAGAGGAUGAUCAGUCACACUGGAACUGAGACACGGUCCAGACUCCUACGGGAGGCAGCAGUGGGGAAUAUUGGACAAUGGGCGAAAGCCUGAUCCAGCCAUGCCGCGUGUGUGAAGAAGGUCUUCGGAUUGUAAAGCACUUUAAGUUGGGAGGAAGGGCAGUAAGUUAAUACCUUGCUGUUUUGACGUUACCGACAGAAUAAGCACCGGCUAACUCUGUGCCAGCAGCCGCGGUAAUACAGAGGGUGCAAGCGUUAAUCGGAAUUACUGGGCGUAAAGCGCGCGUAGGUGGUUCGUUAAGUUGGAUGUGAAAGCCCCGGGCUCAACCUGGGAACUGCAUCCAAAACUGGCGAGCUAGAGUACGGUAGAGGGUGGUGGAAUUUCCUGUGUAGCGGUGAAAUGCGUA